GACGAACGCUGGCGGCGUGCUUAACAUAUGCAAGUCGAACGGAAAGGCCCUCACCUUGGUGGCGUUGCUCGAGUGGCGAACGGGUGAGUAACACGUGGGUGAUCUGCCCUUUACUUCGGGAUAAGCUUGUGAAACUGCGUCUACUACCGGAUAGGACCAUGGAUUAGUGUAUCCUGGUGGAAAAAUGAUUUUUUUCGUGCAGGUUGGGCUCUUGGCCUGUCAGUUGGUGGGUGGGGUAAUGGCCUACCAAGGCGUCGGCGGGUGGCCGGCCGGAGAGGGUGGCCAGCCUCGUUGGGAGUGAGGUACGGCACAGCCACGGACGGGAGCAGGCGGUAGGGUAUGUCGAAGAAUGGGCGCAAGCCUGAUGCAGCGCCGCCGCGUGGGGGAUGACUGCCUGUUGGUUGUAACCUCCUUUCGUUAGGAACGAAGCCACACCUUUUUUGGGUGUGGUGGAGGUAACUUUGUUAAGAAGCACCGGCUAACUACGUG
rnacentral:rRNA from 1 species